GACAGAGGUGCCGAGCGUUAGGCGGAAUCACUGGGCUUAAAGCGUGUGUAGGCGGGUCGUUAAGUGUCUUGUGAAAUCCCACCGCUCAACGGUGGAACUGCUGGGCAUACUGGCGAUCUUGAGCCACCUAGGGGCAGACGGAACAAGCGGUGGAGCGGUGAAAUGCGUAGAUAUCGCUUGGAACGCCGACGGUGAAAACAGUCAUGCUGGGGGUGUGACUGACGCUGGAGACACGAAAGCCAGGGGAGCGGAACGGG
rnacentral:rRNA from 1 species